rnacentral:rRNA from 1 species
CCUACGGGCGGCUGCAGUGAGGAAUAUUGGUCAAUGGGCGCGAGCCUGAACCAGCCAAGUAGCGUGAAGGCUGACUGCCCUACGGGUUGUAAACUUCUUUUAUAAAGGAAUAAAGUGAGGCACGUGUGCCUUUUUUUAUGUACUUUAUGAAUAAGGCUCGGCUAACUCUGUGCCAGCAGCCGCGGUAAUACGGAGGAUCCGAGCGUUCUCCGGAUUUUUUGGGUUUAAGGGGAGCGUAGAUGGGUUGUUAAGUGGGUUGUGAAAGUUUGCGGCUCAACCGUAAAAUUGCAAUUGAUACUGGCAGUCUUGAGUACAGUUGAGGUAGGCGGAAUUCGUGGUGUAGCGGUGAAAUGCUUAGAUAUCACGAAGAACUCCGAUUGCGAAGGCAGCUUACUAAACUGCCACUGACAUUGAUGCUCGAAAGUGUGGGUAUCAAACAGGAUUAGAUACCCCGGUAGUC